rnacentral:rRNA from 1 species
AGAAUCAACGCUGGCGGCGUGCCUAACACAUGCAAGUCGAACGAGAAAGUGGAGCAAUCCAUGAGUACAGUGGCGACCGGGUGAGUAACACGUGACUAACCUACCUUUUAGUGGGGGAUAACAUCGGGAAACCGAUGCUAAUACCGCAUAACAUCGCAAGAUCAAAGGAGAAAUCCGCUGGAAGAGGGGGUCGCGGCUGAUUAGCUAGUUGGCGGGGUAACGGCCCACCAAGGCGAAGAUCGGUA